UUGAACGCUGGCGGCCUGCUUUACACCUGCCAGUCGAACGGUAACAGGCCUUCGGGUGCUGCCGAGUGGCGAACGGGUGAGUAAUGCAUCGGAACGUGCCCAGAGGUGGGGGAUAACGCAGCGAAAGCUGUGCUAAUACCGCAUGUGAUCUGAGGAUGAAAGCGGGGGACCAAGCAGCAAUGUUUGGCCUCGCGCCUCUGGAGCGGCCGAUGUCAGAUUAGGUAGUUGGUGGGGUAAAGGCCUACCAAGCCGACGAUCUGUAGCUGGUCUGAGAGGACGACCAGCCACACUGGGACUGAGACACGGCCCAGACUCCUACGGGAGGCAGCAGUGGGGAAUUUUGGACAAUGGGCGCAAGCCUGAUCCAGCAAUGCCGCGUGCGGGAAGAAGGCCUUCGGGUUGUAAACCGCUUUUGUACGGAACGAAAAGGCUCUGGCUAAUACCUGGGGCUGAUGACGGUACCGUAAGAAUAAGCACCGGCUAACUACGUG
rnacentral:rRNA from 1 species